rnacentral:rRNA from 1 species
UACGAAGGGGGCUAGCGUUGCUCGGAAUCACUGGGCGUAAAGCGCACGUAGGCGGAUUGCUAAGUCAGGGGUGAAAUCCUGGAGCUCAACUCCAGAACUGCCUUUGAUACUGGCGACCUUGAGUCCGGGAGAGGUGAGUGGAACUGCGAGUGUAGAGGUGAAAUUCGUAGAUAUUCGCAAGAACACCAGUGGCGAAGGCGGCUCACUGGCCCGGUACUGACGCUGAGGUGCGAAAGCCAGGGGA